UAGUGGCGAACGGGUGAGUAACACGUAGACAACCUGCCUUUGAGAUGGGGACAACAAUCCGAAAGGAUUGCUAAUACCGAAUGAGCUUCUUUCAUCGCAUGGUGAAAGAAGGAAAGAUGGCCUCUAUUUAUAAGCUAUCGCUCAAAGAUGGGUCUGCGUCUGAUUAGCUAGUUGGUGGGGUAAAGGCCUACCAAGGCGACGAUCAGUAGCCGGUCUGAGAGGAUGAACGGCCACAUUGGGACUGAGACACGGCCCAAACUCCUACGGGAGGCAGCAGUGGGGAAUCUUCCACAAUGGACGAAAGUCUGAUGGAGCAACGCCGCGUGAGUGAAGAAGGUUUUCGGAUCGUAAAGCUCUGUCUUUUGGGACGAAUGUGCAAUUUGUGAAUAAUGAGUUGCAAUGACGGUACCAGAGGAGGAAGCCACGGCUAACUACGUGCCAGCAGCCGCGGUAAUACGUAGGUGGCGAGCGUUGUCCGGAAUUAUUGGGCGUAAAGAGCGCGUAGGCGGAACUGCAAGUCUAAUUUAAAAGUGCGGAGCUCAACUCCGUGAGGGGUUAGAAACUGCAGAUCUUGAGUGCAGGAGAGGAAAGUGGAAUUCCCAGUGUAGCGGUGAAAUGCGUAGAGAUUGGGAGGAACACCAGUGGCGAAGGCGACUUUCUGGACUGUGUCUGACGCUGAGGCGCGAAAGCCAGGGGAGUGAACGGGAUUAGAUACCCCGGUAAUCCUGGCCGUAAACGAUGGGUACUAGGUGGAAGGAGGUAUCGACCCCUUCUGUGCCGGAGUUAACGCAAUAAGUACCCCGCCUGGGGGAGUACGACCGCAAGGUUGAAACUCAAAGGAAUUGACGGGGACCCGCACAAGCGGGUGGAGCGUGUUCUUUAAUUCGAUGCUAAACGAAGAACCUUACCAGGGCUUGACAUCCCUUGAAACUUUGCGAAAGCAGAGUGUGCCUUCGGGAACAAGGUGACAGGGUGAUGCAUGGCCGUCGUCAGCUCGUGUCGUGAAGAUGUUUUGGUUAAGUCCAUCAACGAGCGCAACCCUA
rnacentral:rRNA from 1 species